UUUAAAUGUAGUUGUGAGUUUUUCUGUUCAACGUUUGACCGUUCGUCUUAUUUAAUUUAUUUAUGAUUAAUAUUUUUAUUGUUAUUAAAGGUAAAACAUGAAUAAUACUUUAUGCGUGACUUAAUUUUUAAAAUUUUUUUUAUAAAAAUUUUAAAUAAGACAAAUGGUCAAACAUUGGACACAAAAACCCACGACUGCACUUAAA
rfam:Oryza glumipatula chromosome 10, whole genome shotgun sequence.